GCACCUCAUAAAACGGGUGUCGGGAUUAGCCUCCUGAAAACAACUGAAGCGCACAGCACGCGCCCCGCGUGUUUUUU
rnacentral:sRNA from 3 species